rnacentral:rRNA from 1 species
GGGAAUAUUGCACAAUGGGCGCAAGCCUGAUGCAGCAACGCCGCGUGAGGGACGACGGCCUUCGGGUUGUAAACCUCUUUAGCAGGGAAGAAGCGAAAGUGACGGUACCUGCAGAAAAGCACCGGCUAACUACGUGCCAGCAGCCGCGGUAAUACGUAGGGUGCAAGCGUUAUCCGGAAUUAUUGGGCGUAAAGAGCUCGUAGGCGGUUUGUCGCGUCUGCUGUGAAAACCCGAGGCUCAACCUCGGGCCUGCAGUGGGUACGGGCAGACUAGAGUGCGGUAGGGGAGAUUGGAAUUCCUGGUGUAGCGGUGGAAUGCGCAGAUAUCAGGAGGAACACCGAUGGCGAAGGCAGAUCUCUGGGCCGUAACUGACGCUGAGGAGCGAAAGCAUGGGGANCGAACAG